UGGAUCACCGCAGUCGUGGGAAUAAUAAAAAAAGACAACUCUGUUCCGCAGAGUAGCUGUUGACAUUAUAGUUGCGCAGGAACUUUGUUGACUCUAGAGAACCUUGGGCAAAUAGUACAUUCCCGUAGCGGCGACUUUGCAUGCGGAUGUCAUCCAUAUCAACUUUCAAUGCCAGUUUCUGUGCCUAUCAUGGUGACCACGGGUAACGGGGAAUCAGGGUUCCAUUCCGUACAGGGACCCUGAGAAACGGCUACCACAUGCAAGGAAGGCAGCAGGUGCGCAAAUUACCCACUCCCGAUGCGGGAAGAUAGUGA